UGACACCGAAUUGUCUUGGAGUGGCCACAGGAGGCGGUGUGUGUGGUGGAGAGGAGGUGAAGGACCAGCAAAAGGGAAUUAGGUUUUAUGGCCCUCACCUGCUUUCUGUUGGCAUGCGUUGCCUCAUUUUCGUUUGUUUGGUGUGGCGUGGUGUCCGGUUUCCCCGUGGCUUCUUUUUCCUUGUUGGAUGUUUGCUUGUCUUAAGGUGACGGGCAGCCUUAUAGAUGAUCCGUAAUAUAGCACCCCUCGGUGACGGAACGAGUUUUCACGGUGCACAAUGAAGUGGAAAUAAAGAGUUGAAGCACCUGUCGAGACUCCCGUUUAUUGACCCAGGGGCAGCU